GGUGAGUUGCCACCGGAUCACAUAAGAACUCCAGAGUUAAGGAGCCUUGGGCUGGAGCAGUCCAAGGAUGGGUGAGCAUAUGGAUAGUAUUGUCAAAGGUAGGAAAAGGGCCCAACACUGUACAUCCUUACACCACGCUCACGAUGAAAAUGGACACAUUUAGUAGAUGAAAUAUCAAGAACCACCUAACUUUGGAAAUCAAUCCUAUCAUGGGUAGAAAUUACCUAAACCGAACGCUGGAAAAAUCUCACAAGGAGUAGCUUAGUUAUUCAAUAAGCCUAGCAUAGGUGGGUGUGUGAAGUACCUAGCCCACUAGGGAAGUUCGGCCCAUAAAUGUAAAGGUGGCCUGAGCUGAUUGGGUGUGUGAAGUACGAGGAGGGAUGCCUCUAAGGAAGUUCGGCCCAAGAAGCAAGGAUGGCAACAAAAAAAAAAAAAAAAAACCCUAAACCCUAAAUUCAUGGGGUCCAUCCUAAAUCGAACCUGCUGACUCUCCAUAUGAAAAUAACCUGAAAAGUCUAUCCCUAAUCCGAGAGAACCCAAUCCUUUCCCUUGAGCCCAAAGAUGAGACCAUGUCCCGAACUAGAGAUGAAUCUAUGUCUUCUUUGUUAUCGC
rnacentral:lncRNA from 1 species